rnacentral:rRNA from 1 species
UACGGGAGGCAGCAGUAGGGAAUCUUCCGCAAUGGACGAAAGUCUGACGAAGCAACGCCGCGUGAGUGAUGAAGGUUUUCGGAUCGUAAAACUCUGUUGUUAGGGAAGAACAAGUACCGUUCGAUUAGGGCGGUACCUUGACGGUACCUAACCAGAAAGCCCCGGCUAACUACGUGCCAGCAGCCGCGGUAAUACGUAGGUGGCAAGCGUUGUCCGGAAUUAUUGGGCGUAAAGCGCGCGCAGGCGGUUUUUUAAGUCUGAUGUGAAAGCCCCCGGCUCAACCGGGGAGGGUCAUUGGAAACUGGGGAACUUGAGUGCAGAAGAGGAGAGUGGAAUUCCACGUGUAGCGGUGAAAUGCGUAGAGAUGUGGAGGAACACCAGUGGCGAAGGCGACUCUCUGGUCUGUAACUGACGCUGAGGCGCGAAAGCGUGGGGAGCGAACAGGAUUAGAUACCCUGGUAGUCCACGCCGUAAACGAUGAGUGCUAAGUGUUAGAGGGUUUCCGCCCUUUAGUGCUGCAGCAAACGCAUUAAGCACUCCGCCUGGGGAGUACGGUCGCAAGACUGAAACUCAAAGGAAUUGACGGGGGCCCGCACAAGCGGUGGAGCAUGUGGUUUAAUUCGAAGCAACGCGAAGAACCUUACCAGGUCUUGACAUCCUCUGACAACCCUAGAGAUAGGGCUUCCCCUUCGGGGGCAGAGUGACAGGUGGUGCAUGGUUGUCGUCAGCUCGUGUCGUGAGAUGUUGGGUUAAGUCCCGCAACGAGCGCAACCCUUGAUCUUAGUUGCCAGCAUUCAGUUGGGCACUCUAAGGUGACUGCCGGUGACAAACCGGAGGAAGGUGGGGAUGACGUCAAAUCAUCAUGCCCCUUAUGACCUGGGCUACACACGUGCUACAAUGGGCAGAACAAAGGGCAGCGAAGCCGCGAGGCUAAGCCAAUCCCACAAAUCUGUUCUCAGUUCGG